AGUGAACGCUGGCGGCAGGCCUAACACAUGCAAGUCGAGCGGCAGCGCGGGGCAACCUGGCGGCGAGCGGCGGACGGGUGAGGAAUUCGUCGGAAUCUGCCUUUUUGUGGGGGAUAACGUAGGGAAACUUACGCUAAUACCGCAUACGACCUACGGGUGAAAGUGGGGGACCGCAAGGCCUCACGCAGAAAGAUGAGCCGACGACCGAUUAGCUAGUUGGUAGGGUAAAGGCCUACCAAGGCGACGAUCGGUAGCUGGUCUGAGAGGAUGAUCAGCAACACUGGGACUGAGACACGGCCCAGACUCCUACGGGAGGCAGCAGUGGGGAAUAUUGGACAAUGGGCGCAAGCCUGAUUCAGCCAUGCCGCGUGUGUGAAGAAGGCCUUCGGGUUGUAAAGCACUUUUGUCCGGAAAGAAAUCUUCCAACUUAAUACGUUGGGAGGAUGACGGUACCGGAAGAAUAAGCACCGGCUAACUUCGUGCCAGCCGCCGCGGUAA
rnacentral:rRNA from 1 species